rnacentral:rRNA from 1 species
GACAGAGGGGGCAAGCGUUGCUCGGAAUCAUUGGGCGUAAAGCGCGCGUAGGCGGUUACUUAAGUCGAAUGUGAAAGCCCUCGGCUUAACUGAGGAAGUGCAUCCGAAACUGAGUAGCUAGAGUACGAAAGAGGGUCGCGGAAUUCCCGGUGUAGAGGUGAAAUUCGUAGAUAUCGGGAGGAACACCGGUGGCGAAGGCGGCGACCUGGGUCGAGACUGACGCUGAGGCGCGAAAGCGUGGGGAGCAAACAGG